rnacentral:tRNA from 1 species
GUGGCCUUAGCUCAACAGGCAGAGCAGCGGAUUGUGGAUCCGCAGGUUAUGGGUUCGACCCCCAUAGGCCACCCCA